rnacentral:rRNA from 1 species
UACGUAGGGUGCAAGCGUUGUCCGGAAUUAUUGGGCGUAAAGAGCUCGUAGGCGGUUCGGUAAGUCGGGUGUGAAAACUCUGGGCUCAACCCAGAGCCGCCACCCGAUACUGCUGUGACUUGAGUGCGGUAGGGGAGCGGGGAAUUCCUGGUGUAGCGGUGAAAUGCGCAGAUAUCAGGAGGAACACCAGUGGCGAAGGCGCCGCUCUGGGCCGUGACUGACGCUGAGGAGCGAAAGCGUGGGUAGCAAACAGG